AACCUAAGUCAUUUGAUAUGGUUAGAAUAGUUUGAAAGUGCCACAGUGACGUAGCUUUUAUAGAAAUAUAAAAGGUGGAACGCGGUAAACCCCUCGAGUGAGCAAUCCAAAUUGGGUAGGAGCACUUGUUUAGCGGAAUUCAACGUAUAAACGAGACGAUUUUUACGCGAAAGUAAAAAUAUGUAGACAGAUGGUUACCACCGACGUACCAGUGUAACUAGUACACAUUAUGAGUACAACGGAACAGAACAUGGCUUACAGAA
rnacentral:RNase_P_RNA from 1 species